UUGAGUGGAAUAAAGAGCCAACAUAAUAUAAAUGGGGACUGCCGAUAAAUCAACGUUUUUCAACUUAGAAAUACUUGAUUUUCAUUAAAAAUGAUAUGGUUCUUACCUUUUUCCCUACCAAAAUAAAACCCUGCUAAGAUGAUUCUUGGCAGGGAAUUU
rnacentral:sRNA from 1 species